rnacentral:rRNA from 1 species
UACGUAGGGUGCGAGCGUUGUCCGGAAUUACUGGGCGUAAAGAGCUCGUAGGUGGUUUGUCGCGUUGUCCGUGAAAACUCACAACUCAAUUGUGGGCGUGCGGGCGAUACGGGCAGACUGGAGUACUGCAGGGGAGACUGGAAUUCCUGGUGUAGCGGUGGAAUGCGCAGAUAUCAGGAGGAACACCGGUGGCGAAGGCGGUUCUCUGGGCAGUAACUGACGCUGAGGAGCGAAAGCGUGGGGAGCGAACAGG